rnacentral:rRNA from 1 species
CCUACGGGAGGCAGCAGUGAGGAAUAUUGGUCAAUGGACGAGAGUCUGAACCAGCCAAGUAGCGUGAAGGAUGACUGCCCUAUGGGUUGUAAACUUCUUUUAUAUGGGAAUAAAACGUUCCACGUGUGGGAUUUUGUAUGUACCAUAUGAAUAAGGAUCGGCUAACUCCGUGCCAGCAGCCGCGGUAAUACGGAGGAUCCGAGCGUUAUCCGGAUUUAUUGGGUUUAAAGGGAGCGUAGGUGGAUUGUUAAGUCAGUUGUGAAAGUUUGCGGCUCAACCGUAAAAUUGCAGUUGGAACUGGCAGUCUUGAGUACAGUAGAGGUGGGCGGAAUGCGUGGUGUAGCGGUGAAAUGCUUAGAUAUCACGAAGAACUCCGAUUGCGAAGGCAGUUCACUGGACUGCAACUGACACUGAGGCUCGAAAGUGUGGGUAUCAAACAGGAUUAGAUACCCCAGUAGUC